GGGAAAGCCUACUCUCAUCUAAUACUGUACAAUUAAAUUAGGUCAGUAUAUCCAACUUCCAUGAUUUUAGGUAUGUGAAUGUGAAUACACCAGUUGCCAAAUGAAGGACACGAAAGAAAAAGGAAAUAAGUUAACCACACGGGCAGGAUUGAGAGAUGUGUAUUUUUGCAAGCUACGUAAUGUCUCCGAACAUAUAGUCAUGAGAUACGGUCCGCAAACAAAUGUAAGACCAUACAGUAUCCAUUUUCCCAUUUGGGACACAAGAUCAACUAGGUAUAUUGCUACAUUACUCAAUUGCAUUCAUUUAACUAUAUGGUAAUUUAUUGUGGGAUGGCAUACACAUUGCAUCGUAUAAUGUACAUGGAAAUAUCAAUAUUGUUAUCAGUACCCACAUGAUCUCAUGAGAUAAUAUUUUGAACAAUCUUCUAAAUCUUCUUGAUAUAUAUGCCAUGCACUUGGUACCAAACUAAAAAGCAUUCCGCAACUCUCCCGCUAUAUAAACAUAGUGGACUCGCUAUAUUACCAUAUUUACGAGCUUUUGGAGAAUCAAAGUCGAAUGUCAUUCAACAACAGGGGAUCGAGAAGCAAGAAAAACAUAUUUAGCAAAGAAUGGAACGUGCUCAAGGGGAAAUGGGGAUCUCGAGAAGCCUCGUUGAGCAGGACCUAUCGGGACGCCGCCACGUCACCGGUGAGCUCACUAGCAGAGCCCCAACGGAACUAUCGGUGGAGUCUCAGCGGAGAUCCUCGAGCGUCAGCCAAAGCGACGACCAUUAUCACAAUUCUGGUGAAGACGAUCCAUGGCGAGCAAGCUACAAGCAUGGCGCUCUCGCCUAUUCUGGUGAUUACGAUCAAGGGUGAGUGAGAUCAUACCCGUGACCACCCCAGCAGGAAUAUGAUUAUUCUUAUCACACUAGCAAGGGCAGUAUUAUUCUCAGGGUCUUGACAAUGUCAAUAGUUACGUCCGCGACGACGCGUCUGUUCCAUCAUACCUGCCCCGCAUACCUCUUAUGGUUAUCACCAUCCAUCCGAGUCUCCCCCGAAUAAUUGCUUGGUGAUGUGAGAUGCCUAAUAUAGUGUGGCUAUAGUUGCUAUUUACUAAUAUCUGGUGAAGUACGUGAUGAGCUAGGGGCAUGGUUGAGCCAUUGGUUUGUUAGCUUUCGCUUGUGACUCUCAGUGAAGUUUCUUGUUUUAGUCAAUGGUUUCGAACGUGAUGGAG
rnacentral:lncRNA from 1 species